GACAGAGGGUGCAAACGUUGUUCGGAAUCACUGGGCGUAAAGCGUGCGUAGGCGGCUUUGCAAGUCGGAUGUGAAAGCCCCGGGCUCAACCCGGGAAGUGCACUCGAUACUGCAGGGCUCGAGUAUCGGAGAGGUUGGUGGAAUUCUCGGUGUAGAGGUGAAAUUCGUAGAUAUCGAGAGGAACACCGGCGGCGAAGGCGGCCAACUGGACGAUCACUGACGCUGAGGCACGAAAGCGUGGGGAGCAAACAGG
rnacentral:rRNA from 1 species